UGGGGAAUAUUGCACAAUGGGCGAAAGCCUGAUGCAGCAACGCCGCGUGAGUGAUGAAGGCCUUCGGGUUGUAAAGCUCUGUCUUUUGGGACGAUAAUGACGGUACCAAAGGAGGAAGCCACGGCUAACUACGUGCCAGCAGCCGCGGUAAUACGUAGGUGGCAAGCGUUGUCCGGAUUUACUGGGCGUAAAGGAUGCGUAGGCGGAUUUUUAAGUGAGAUGUGAAAUACCCGGGCUUAACUUGGGUGCUGCAUUUCAAACUGGGAAUCUAGAGUGCGGGAGAGGAGAAUGGAAUUCCUAGUGUAGCGGUGAAAUGCGUAGAGAUUAGGAAGAACACCAGUGGCGAAGGCGAUUCUCUGGACCGUAACUGACGCUGAGGCAUGAAAGCGUGGGUAGCAAACAGGAUUAGAUACCCUGGUAGUCCACGCCGUAAACGAUGAGUACUAGGUGUAGGAGGUAUCGACCCCUUCUGUGCCGCAGUUAACACAAUCAAGUACUCCGCCUGGGAAGUACGAUCGCAAGAUUAAAACUUAAAUGAAUUGACGGGGUCAUAGCUGUUUCC
rnacentral:rRNA from 1 species